GCAUCUUGAAGUCUACUUAAUUACAAACAAUGGAUAUUACUUGAUUUUGUCAUUUUUCCACCCAGAUGGUUGGUUGCUGAGCAUACUUUCCGGCCUCCAUAUUAUUAUCACAACUGUAUGAGUGAAUUUAUGAGCCUUAUUCACGGUGGCUAUGAGGCCAAGGUUGAUGGAUUUCUUCCUGGUGGUCCAAGUCUCCAUAACUAUAUGACUCCCCAUGGUCUUGAUACCAAGUCAUAUGAGGUUCUUGUCGAAUGGGUUGGCUUGGCCGUCUUAUUUUCUUCCAUCCAGCCCAAAGUUUGAAUCUCCCCACGCCUAAGCCAUUUUUCUGCUGUAUAACUUCAUUAGUUUUAUUUGUUUGUGUCCACUUUGAUUUAGAAUUGUGGUUGAUUAUCAAAUGAUUAUGUGUUGAUUAUGAAAUAAUGU